rnacentral:rRNA from 1 species
AGAACGAACGCUGGCGGCAGGCUUAACACAUGCAAGUCGAGCGCCCAGCAAUGGGAGCGGCGGACGGGUGAGUAACACGUGGGAACAUGCCCUUUGGUACGGGACAACUCAGGGAAACUUGAGCUAAUACCGUAUGUGCCGGUAACGGGAAAGAUUUAUCGCCAAAGGAAUGGCCCGCGUCCGAUUAGCUAGUUGGUGAGGUAAUGGCUCACCAAGGCACCGAUCGGUAGCUGGUUUGAGAGAACGACCAGCCACACUGGGACUGAGACACGGCCCAGACUCCUACGGGAGGCAGCAGUGGGGAAUCUUGGACAAUGGGGGCAACCCUGAUCCAGCCAUGCCGCGUGAGUGAUGAAGGCCUUCGGGUUGUAAAACUCUUUCGACGGGGACGAUAAUGACGGUACCGUAGAAGAAGCUCCGGCUAACUUCGUGCCAGCAGCCGC